UAUUUAUUUAGAAUUAUAUAGACUAUUGUAUGAAACGUUUAAUGUAAAUAUUACUCACUAUAUAUUAAUAUAUGGAAUAAUUCUUUAGAAUCCAAUAAUUAAGCUGAGAUGUCGUCAGAAGAGUCGGAGCCAACUCGCUCAAGAUCAUGUGGAUCAAAGAAAAAAUUAAAGAAAAGGGAAGAGGUUUUGUCGU